rnacentral:rRNA from 1 species
GGGUUGUGAGGUUAAGCGACUAAGCGUACACGGUGGAUGCCCUGGCAGUCAGAGGCGAUGAAGGACGUGCUAAUCUGCGAUAAGCGUCGGUAAGGUGAUAUGAACCGUUAUAACCGGCGAUUUCCGAAUGGGGAAACCCAGUGUGAUUCGUCACACUAUCAUUAACUGAAUCCAUAGGUUAAUGAGGCGAACCGGGGGAACUGAAACAUCUAAGUACCCCGAGGAAAAGAAAUCAACCGAGAUUCCCCCAGUAGCGGCGAGCGAACGGGGAGCAGCCCAGAGCCUGAAUCAGUGUGUGUGUUAGUGGAAGCGUCUGGAAAGG